CAGUAGCCACGGUAAUACGAAGGGUGCAAGCGUUACUCGGAAUUACUGGGCGUAAAGCGUGCGUAGGUGGUGGUUUAAGUCCGUUGUGAAAGCCCUGGGCUCAACCUGGGAAUUGCAGUGGAUACUGGGUCACUAGAGUGUGGUAGAGGAUAGUGGAAUUUCCGGUGUAGCAGUGAAAUGCGUAGAGAUCGGAAGGAACAUCUGUGGCGAAGGCGACUAUCUGGGCCAACACUGACACUGAGGCACGAAAGCGUGGGGGGCAAACAGGAUUAGAUACCCCAGUAGUCCCUGUCUCUUAUAC
rnacentral:rRNA from 1 species